AACGAACGCUGGCGGCAUGCCUAACACAUGCAAGUCGAACGAGACCUUCGGGUCUAGUGGCGCACGGGUGCGUAACGCGUGGGAACCUGCCCUUAGGUUCGGAAUAACUCCCCGAAAGGGGUGCUAAUACCGGAUAAUGUCUUCGGACCAAAAAUUUAUCGCCUUUGGAUGGGCCCGCGUUGGAUUAGCUAGUUGGUAGGGUAAAAGCCUACCAAGGCGACGAUCCAUAGCUGGUCUGAGAGGAUGAUCAGCCACACUGGGACUGAGACACGGCCCAGACUCCUACGGGAGGCAGCAGUGGGGAAUAUUGGACAAUGGGCGAAAGCCUGAUCCAGCAAUGCCGCGUGAGUGAUGAAGGCCUUAGGGUUGUAAAGCUCUUUUACCCGGGAUGAUAAUGACAGUACCGGGAGAAUAAGCUCCGGCUAACUCCGUG
rnacentral:rRNA from 1 species